GACGAACGCCGGCGGCGUGCUUAACACAUGCAAGUCGAGCGGUAAGGCCCUUUCGGGGGUACACGAGCGGCGAACGGGUGAGUAACACGUGGGUGACCUGCCCUCAGCUCUGGGAUAAGCCCGGGAAACUGGGUCUAAUACUGGAUAUGACUCCAUGACGCAUGUUGUGGGGUGGAAAGCCUUGUGCGGCUGGGGAUGGGCCCGCGGCCUAUCAGCUUGUUGGUGGGGUGANGGCCUACCAAGGCGACGACGGGUAGCCGGCCUGAGAGGGCGACCGGCCACACUGGGACUGAGACACGGCCCAGACUCCUACGGGAGGCAGCAGUGGGGAAUCUUGCGCAAUGGGCGAAAGCCUGACGCAGCGACGCCGCGUGAGGGAUGACGGCCU
rnacentral:rRNA from 1 species